ensembl:lncRNA
GUAUUCCUUAUGCUGUUUCCUCCUACUCUGUUUCCUCUCUCCAGCCCUGAUGUCAGAUUGUUUCCCUCCAAGUACUGGUCUGAGGAUCCCCUACGGGCAGAUCUUUACAGUGAUUGCUUUUUUCCUGAUUGCUGCUGCUGUUUUCAGGUUUGUGAAGGAAGUGGCUAUGUUAGACUAGCAAUUGCAGAGCUGGACUGGUGACCACUGUAGAUGUAGAGCCCCCACAUGAUGCAAGUUCCUCCUUAGAAGAAAGAGCUAGAAUCAAAUGGAAGGUGAUUGUGUAGAUCCAUUGAGCUUUGUAGUAAUACACUGCACCUAUCUCCACUAAUUUUCUUCAGUAACUAUCUGCCUGAUACUGUUAUUUCAAAAGCUGCAAACCACACAGAAAUGCACUGUGUGUGCUGUCAGAUCGCUUGCUCUGAAGUGAAAGACUGAUGUGCUUCAGCAAACUCAAGAAUUUCAUGGCCUCUUUGGUUGAUGACUAUCAGUUUCAGGGGCUUUCUCAAGGGGAAAAUGCACAAAUUUCACGCAGAUUCUGGUGAAAGGAUAAAUUUCACAACUUGUCUUCCCAAGAGGCAUGAAACUUGUCACAGACACGAAGAAAAUAGAGCUCUAUCACUGAUGCAUUGGAGAUGCCCUCAAAAGAGG